AAUAUCACGUUGAAACCUCCGGUUCUUGUCCCAUCACCAAAGUUAAGCAACGUCGAACCUGGUCAGUACCUAGAUGGGUGACCGUUUGGCAAUACCAGGUACUAU